rnacentral:rRNA from 1 species
GGGGGGCGGGGGGGGGGGGCGGGGGGGGGGGGGGGCGGGGGGGGGGGGGCGGGCUUGGUGGGGUGCACGAGUGGCGAACGGGUGGGUAACACGUGGGUGACCUGCCCCGCACUUCGGGGUAAGCCUGGGGAACUGGGGGUCAUGCCGGGUAGGCCCGCACCGGGGGGGGGUGGUGGAAAGGUUUUCGGUAUGGGAUGGGCCCGCGGCCUGUCAGCUUGUUGGUGGGGUAAUGGCCUACCAAGGCGGCGACGGGUAGCCGGCCUGAGAGGGUGGACGGCCACAUUGGGACUGAGACACGGCCCAGACUCCUACGGGAGGCAGCAGUGGGGAAUAUUGCACAAUGGGCGGAAGCCUGAUGCAGCGACGCCGCGUGGGGGAUGACGGCCUUCGGGUUGUAAACUCCUUUCACCAUCGACGAAGGUUUUCUGACGGUAGAUGGAGAAGAAGCACCGGCUAACUACGUG